UCGAGCGGUAACAGGUGUAGCAAUACAUGCUGACGAGCGGCGGACGGGUGAGCAAUGUUUGGGAAUCUGCCUAUUAGUGGGGGACAACCCGGGGAAACUCGGGCUAAUACCGCAUACGAUCUACGGAUGAAAGCCGGGGACCGCAAGGCCUGGCGCUAAUAGAUGAGCCCAAAUCGGAUUAGCUAGUUGGUGGGGUAACGGCCUACCAAGGCGACGAUCCGUAGCUGGUUUGAGAGAACGACCAGCCACACCGGAACUGAGACACGGUCCGGACUCCUACGGGAGGCAGCAGUGGGGAAUAUUGGACAAUGGGGGCAACCCUGAUCCAGCGACGCCGCGUGGGUGAAGAAGGCCUGCGGGUUGUAAAGCCCUUUCGGUGGGGAUGAAAAGCUCCGUUCUAACACAGCGGAGUCUUGACCUAACCCAAGAAAGAAGCACCGGCUAACUCUGUGCCAGCAGCCGCGGUAAUACAGAGGGUGCGAGCGUUAAUCGGAAUUACUGGGCGUAAAGCGCACGUAGGUGGCUUUGCAAGUCGAUUGUGAAAUCCCCGGGCUCAACCUGGGAACUGCAGUCGAGACUGCUUUGCUCGAAUAUGGGAGAGGGAGGGUGGGAAUUUCCCGGGUUAACGGUGAAAUGCGUAAAUUUCGGAAGGAACAUCAGUGGCGAAAGCGACCUCCUGGACCAAUAUUGACACUCAAGUGCGAAAGCGUGGGGAGCAAACAGGAUUAAAUACCCUGGUAGUCCACGCCAUAAACGAU
rnacentral:rRNA from 1 species